rnacentral:rRNA from 1 species
UACGUAGGGGGCAAGCGUUGUCCGGAUUUAUUGGGCGUAAAGAGCGUGUAGGCGGCCAGGUAGGUCCGUUGUGAAAACUGGAGGCUUAACCUCCAGCUGUCGAUGGAAACCAUCUGGCUAGAGUCCGGAAGAGGAGAGUGGAAUUCCUGGUGUAGCGGUGAAAUGCGUAGAUAUCGGGAGGAACACCUGUGGCGAAAGCGGCGCACUGGACCAUAACUGACGCUGAGGCGCGAAAGCUAGGGGAGCAAACAGG